rnacentral:rRNA from 1 species
GAUGAACGCUGGCGGCGUGCCUAAUACAUGCAAGUCGAGCGAAUGGAUUAAGAGCUUGCUCUUAUGAAGUUAGCGGCGGACGGGUGAGUAACACGUGGGUAACCUGCCCAUAAGACUGGGAUAACUCCGGGAAACCGGGGCUAAUACCGGAUAACAUUUUGAACCGCAUGGUUCGAAAUUGAAAGGCGGCUUCGGCUGUCACUUAUGGAUGGACCAGCGUCGCAUUAGCUAGUUGGUGAGGUAACGGCUCACCAAGGCAACGAUGCGUAGUCGACCUGAGAGGGUGAUCGGCCACACUGGGACUGAGACACGGCCCAGACUCCUACGGGAGGCAGUAGUAGGGAAUCUUCCGCAAUGGACGAAAGUCUGACGGAGCAACGCCGCGUGAGUGAUGAAGGCUUUCGGGUCGUAAAACUCUGUUGUUAGGGAAGAACAAGUGCUAGUUGGAUAAGCUGGCACCUUGACGGUACCUAACCAGAAAGCCACGGCUAACUACGUGCCAGCAGCCGCAGUAA